GAGGAGACAUGCCCGUCACUAGUGGCUGACGAGACGGCAGCGGUGCAUUUCCUUCUGUGGGGCACCGAGUGCGAUGCCUUCGAGUCUGGGGACAUCGUGCGGCUCACGAGUGGCAUCUUCUCGUACCAUAGAGGCAACAACCUGUUCUUGCGCGCCGGGAAGCGAGGACGAAUGGAGAAGGUGGGCGAGUUCACCAUGAUGUUCGUCGAGACGCCCAACAUGAGCGAGACUUCCGGUUCUUGAAAAGGCUUAUUCUUGUCCAUGGACGAUACUCGCACAACCGUACUGCCUUCCUUUCGCAGUAUUCAUUCUACAAGUCAUUGUCAAUUUGCUUUAUUCAGAUACUCUUAAGUCACAAACAAAGUCACAAGUCCUUAUUUCACCUUCAGAUCUUAUAUUUUUUCUUUUGUUUCAGUUAUUGCCGAACAAGUUUAUUCAAUUCAGUUAGUUGGAUGGCUUAUAAUGUCUUCUAUGCAAGCAUUCCUGUUCUAACUACUGCUCUGGACAAGGAUUUAUCUGAAAAGACAGUGGCACAGAACCCAGAAAUUUUACUUUACUGCCAGGCUGGAAGGCUUUUAAUCCAAGUACUUUUGCUGGUUGGUUUGGUCGAUCAUUAUAUCAUUCCUUUCACUUUUCUGCAGUUUCUGGCUAUAUGGGGAAACUUUGCUGCUUUCUACUACAUCAUAAAUUUCUGUAUCAGCAGUUCAGCACCAUACCAACUGCUGGGAUGUACACUAUCAUGUACCGCCUUUGUAGACAGCCGCCAUACUGGAUAACAAUGCUGGUAACUGCUAAUCAGUGGAGUUGGCAUGGGUCCUGUAAUAGCUCUGAGAUAUUUCAGAUGUACAUACAGUCCUAGUGCUAUUAACACUCUUCAGAAGGCCGAGCGAUCACGUGGCCAAUGUAAUCUGGAAUCUCAACUGAGAUCAGUGAACGAUAAUUCGACCAGCUAUCGAGCGACGAUGGUCAAGAAUAAUAUCUCAGUUCAUGAGCCCCUAUGGCAUCCAGGAGAUCACUAGCAUCGUCAACAUUUGACAUCUUUCAGCCAGCUCAGUCAAGGGUUCCUGCUGCAGUGCUGCUUAUCCCAGAAAUAUUAAAACCAGUUAACCUUUGGUAGUCAUUGUAGCACAGGUUAUACCCUCAACAAAGGAAAAAAAUGGAAUGACAAAUAAUAGAGGUCUGUUGAAUUAAAUGUGUUGUAUAGCCAGUAGAAAAAAAAGUUGUAUUAUACAGUGCCAUUAUCAGGAUCAUUGUUUUUAAGGCGGCAAGGCGACCUAAGGCGAGCACCACCCGCCUUAGCGCCUAGGCUACGAAAAAGCAA